UUACAGGAUCAACUUCCUAGAAGUGCAGGAGCAGCACAAGGAAGUAACAGGAAGAGCCUUUCCUGAGGCUGAUCACACACAAGAGCUCCCGCACACAGACAGCAGCGCUGCAGGCUGGCACAGGCACGCGGCAGGGCCUCAGGAGCUCGGCAGGGGCCUAAAGCCGGACCUCUCCGUCUUCUCUGCUCCACUCUGCAAGGCACUGCUCCCUGAAGACCACCAGCAGCCAAGCCCCUGCCCAGCAGCGCUGCCAGAGUGGCCACUGGGGAGAGCAGCAGACAGAGGCCACAGCCGCUCUCAGCCACCCCAGACCUCCCUGGCCUCAGGUAAGCCACACUCUCCAUAACACGUUGGCCAGCACCAGCACCCUCCAGCCGCGCUGUUCUCCUCCGAAGAGGAGCAGGACAAGAGGGACGUGCGUGUUCACAGCUGCCUCGGGAAACACACGGUCUCCCUGGAUAGGAGGAGGACCCUCGGCUCCUCUCAGGCUUCGCUCUGAUGCAAGAAUCUAGACUAUGAGACGCUGGCCACGUGCUGCACACCCAGGGAAGUAACCGGGUUGAGGUCCCUCUCCGGACGCUACUGAGUAUUUGGUAAGAUGGAACAGCAGUGGGCAGGAACAAGAGAAAAGCGCCUGUCACCGAGACCCUUCGGAGCCUACACCAGCGUGUGCCUCACAACGAGCUGCUUACCAGCGUGUGCCUCACAACGAGCUGCUUGUCGGACACAGGCAGUGGCGCUUACACCCGGGUGCGUGAGGGAACCCAGGAGCCACAGUGGAGGCGCACCCAGGACGUCCAAAAGACGAAGCCCCACGAGAUCAAAGCCAAGCGGGCCCCAGGCCAACGCUGGCCCCGCCACAUGCCGGGGAGGCCCUGCUGGUGCUCGCGGGGCGUGCGGGGCAGAGGGGACCCAGCACAGUAGCCUGAGCCUGCCACCAGGGGCAUCUGCCACCGGCGCCCCGCCCCGCCCAGACCAAAAGGAGCAGUGCACUUCCAGGUGGAAGCUUCAGACGCUGCAUCCCAUGACCCCUUCAGGCGUCUUGUAGUGAGCAGGGGACGCUCGGCUCCUGAACAGCUGCAGGAGGAGCUUCUAAGACUUGGGCAUAAUUCUGAAGUCAGUUUCCCUAGUUCAUUUUCCUAGUAAAAGUUGUCAGGUGAAGUGCGGGUGUGAAACCUUGUGAUGAUUCAGCCGUGGGCUCACACACCCAUGACGGACAGUGACACUGAGUCGCCUUCCUCGGUGUCCCGCCUCCAGCUCCUUCAUGCACAACAAGAAAGGAAGCACCUGCCUUCUUCAGCACAAAAGAACUCAUUUCAGUCCAAAAGCAGUGUACAAAACCAGCGCACACGGUUGAAUUGAAUUGAAUCGUUUCCUGCGCUGGGGACACAUGUUUUGCAUGUUUCCUAAGCAAAAAGUAUCAGAUCCUGAAAGUCCCUGGCACAGGACACCACUACGGGGCUCAGCUGGGUGCGCGCACUGGACACCGAGGCAGGAGCCCCGCCCGCCACAGGCCGCACAGCUUCUGGGGUUCUGGUGAUCCCAUGAAACCUGCUGGCUUCAGUUUUCUCAUCAGGAAGCCAGAGGGAAAAAGUGUCUCCCUACCUCCCAGAGGUUCUGAAGUGUUCACUUACAUCUCAGAGGAGCUGACAUCAGGCAUGCCAGCGAAGGCUAUUGCUACUGAACAUUCUCUCAAGUGCUGGUCCACAAAAACACAAAAUCCAGCUCCUCAACAAAAACAAACACCAUCUGAAGACUGCCAUGUCCAACAUGCCUGCUGUAUUCCAGAGGAACUUGAAAGGAGAUAGAGACAGAAUUCGCCUCUCGCCAAGACCCACGACCGCAGGGAGCACGCACAGGCGAUUCCCGUGCCCCACUUGCUUCCUCCCACGCCACCCAGCGUGCCGAUCACCUGCGCCCAAGAAUCUGCUGCCUGCAGGGUGACCAAGACCUCCGGAAUGUUCCUCCACACACUUCUGCUCUGGUUGUCGAUCACCUGCGCCCAAGAAUCCACUGCCUGCAGGGUGGCCAAGACCUCCAGAAUGUUCCUCCACACACUUCUGCUCUGGUUGCUCACCCACAGAAAAGGAGCUUGACCUCCAAGCGGUGGCUUUGUCACAGAUCCUCUGGCCAAGUAAUUUCACCUUUUCACGAGCAUCUGCUGUGCACACCUCUCAUGGAGGAAACGACACACGGCGCCGUCAGGGGGCACGGCGCAUCCGAUGUACCUCGACGAAUGGGCCUACCUCGAGAUUGCAGUCACAAAGGGCUUCAGCUCCUGAGGCUCAUAGGCACGCGCGAAGGCCCAGCACACGUAGCAGGCGGCGUCCCUGACGUUGGUGCCCACGCUGCAGGCACCCCGCUUCUCGUCGUAGGUCAGCGCCUUCAGGAUCACGGCGACAACUGGGCAAGGACAAGAGAAAAGACGGUGAGGAGCAGACCACACGGGCAACACGUGAGGCUUCAGAGAAGUGGGGCUCAGGGCCGGAGCGCGGUCACGGUGCCAGAUGAGUGAGGCACGCAAGCGACACGGAGCCCACCCAGAGGUUCGGGGCUCCUGUUAGACCCACGGCCUGGUCAGAAAACAAACCUACGAAAGGAAGAUGCAUGCUCACCAACUCAGAUCCAGUGAAAGGAUUUUUUUCAAGUGCCAUGAAGCAAAAGCUCCUUCAGAAUAGCACAUGAUACCACCCAGGGGUCUGCCGAGUCUGAGGAGACUCAAGGAAACGCAGCUCCUGCCAGGCAGGGAGGAAGAGGAGCCCCUGGUUCAGGGGAGGGAGAGGCGCCCCUGGUUCAGGGGAGGGAGAGACGCAGAUGCCAGGCAGUGCCUGGAAUUGUACUGUCGUGGACACGCAAAGGCAGAGCGUCCCAGGGGAUGCCUGGCUCUGCCCAGAGCAGGUCUGGGGUGAACCAGGAUGAAAAUGCAAAGCCGGCCACGGCUCCUACAGUGCUGACUUCAAGAAUAACCCAUGCAGGGCUCCUAUGCAAAACAGCCACGCAGAGAAAUCCGAGGUUCAUGUAUUUCAAGUGCUUUGGAAUAAAUACUUGAGAUCAACUGCUGAACAAAGAAAACGGAACACAGCUAUGAAGCCAGCAAUGGAGACCCACGGAGCCAGGGGGAGCACCCAAGCCUCCAACCCAGCUCAGCCUCCCCAGAUAAGCACUCCUCCCCAGGUGGCCCUCACGCUGAAGCACCCACACACCAAGGCCUCAUUCAGGGCUCUGCACACGACCCGCUCCACGCACACGCCAGGGUCUCGUUCGGGGCUCUGCACACGACCCGCUCCACGCACACGCCAGGGUCUCGUUCGGGGCUCUGCACACGACCCGCUCCACGCACACGCCGUCUGUACACUUCACACCCACCAAUCAAGUUCACUAACACUACACACAGUCUGAGAAAAGGCACUCCCGGGAUGGAUACAUGAGAGGCCGGUUAUCUGCACAUGCAACUGUCAUCAGAUACAUUAUCUCCCAGAAAAAUGCACCUAGAAAUGGUCUUAGGCAAAACACCAUAAGCAACAACUGUAGGACUACGAAUAUUAUAUGCAAAUUUCCCCUCUGACUUUUUGCAUCUAAGGAUCUUUUAUUCUCUAUAAACAGCAAUAAAAAUGGAUGUUUCUGCACAGUGUA